rnacentral:rRNA from 1 species
UACAGAGGUCUCAAGCGUUGUUCGGAUUCAUUGGGCGUAAAGGGUGCGUAGGCGGCGCGGUAAGUCGGGUGUGAAAUCUUGGAGCUUAACUCCGAAACUGCAUUCGAUACUGCGUGCUUGAGGACUGGAGAGGAGACUGGAAUUUACGGUGUAGCGGUGAAAUGCGUAGAUAUCGUAAGGAAGACCAGUGGCGAAGGCGGGUCUCUGGACAGUUCCUGACGCUGAGGCACGAAGGCCCAGGGGGAGCAAAACGGG